rnacentral:lncRNA from 1 species
UGGACUCCAAAAGUAGAGGCAAACCCUUUGAACACAACCAUCCGGGUUUAGCCAGCGUUAGCCCGAUAAAACUUCAGCAGGUUUAAUUAGGAGUCACUAACAACAAACUCCGAAGGUCGUCGUUAUGUUUUUGGCAGCGCUCUCCAUCGACAAGGGCAUGCGAAUAUCCAUUAUCAGUUGUCUCUUCAACUAUUACACCCAGCGCAGUAACCAUAACAACAAGAGUGCAACAUGUCCGCAGAGGCUACCAAAAUUGAUUCCCUGGACUGGUCAACUAUGCAAGAAAGUAAUUUCUGAAGGCGUGAUGUGUGGGUGGGAGAGGUUAGUUCAAAUCUUAUAAAAAUACUCUAUUGCUACAUUAAUUUUUAUUUGUCAGUUGGUCGCUUAUGAUAAUGCAUGUGUGAGUCAGUGUGGGCUUAUUUCAAACUAAAAGAUAGCGCGCAACCCGUAUAUAUGAUUUCAGAUCAGUGAUCUUAUGUCUUUUGCGUUCGUGUCCUUCGUUGUAUUAAAAGGGAUUGGGGACGAAUGGUAGCUUGCACUGAAACUAUCUUUUGCUAUUGAUUUUAAUGCUCAAUUUGUACUACACUUACCGGUAUUCC